CCUACGUGAGGCAGCAGUGAGGAAUAUUGGUCAAUGGGCGCGAGCCUGAACCAGCCAAGUAGCGUGAAGGAUGACUGCCCUACGGGUUGUAAACUUCUUUUAUAAAGGAAUAAAGUGAGGCACGUGUGCCUUUUUGUAUGUACUUUAUGAAUAAGGAUCGGCUAACUCCGUGCCAGCAGCCGCGGUAACACGGAGGAUCCGAGCGUUAUCCGGAUUUAUUGGGUUUAAAGGGAGCGUAGAUGGGUUGGUAAGUCAGUUGUGAAAGUUUGCGGCUCAACCGUAAAAUUGCAAUUGAUACUGGCAGUCUUGAGGACAGUUGAGGUAGGCGGAAUUCGUGGUGUAGCGGUGAAAUGCUUAGAUAUCACGAAGAACUCCGAUUGCGAAGGCAGCUUACUAAACUGCCACUGACAUUGAUGCUCGAAAGUGUGGGUAUCAAACAGGAUUAGAUACCCUAGUAGUC
rnacentral:rRNA from 1 species